GAUGAACGCUAGCGGCAGGCCUAAUACAUGCAAGUCGAGGGGCAGCACGAGUACUUGUACUUGGUGGCGACCGGCGCACGGGUGCGUAACGCGUAUGCAACCUACCCAUUACUGGAGGGUAGCCCGGGGAAACUCGGAUUAAUACUCCAUAGUAUGCUAAGAUCGCAUGGUUUAAGUAUUAAAGAUUUAUUGGUAAUGGAUGGGCAUGCGUGUCAUUAGUUAGUUGGUGAGGUAACGGCUCACCAAGACAUCGAUGACUAGGGGGCCUGAGAGGGUGAUCCCCCACACUGGUACUGAGACACGGACCAG
rnacentral:rRNA from 1 species